AACGCACCUUGCGCCCUUUGGUAUUCCGAAGGGCAUGCCUGUUUGAGUGUCAUUAAAUUCUCAACUUCAAAGACUUUAUUGUUAUUUGAAGCUUGGAUUGUGGAGGUUUUUGCCGGCAUCACUGUCAGCUCCUCUUAAAUGCAUUAGCGGAACUUUUUAAAAAGGACCGGCUUUGGUUUGAUAAUCCUAUCUAUGCCGUCGCUGUGGACUUGUAUGUUCAGCUUCUAAUGGUCCUUUAGGGGACUGUCUCCUAGUGAGGCAUACACUUUUAAGCUUGACCUCAAAUCAGGUAGGACUACCCGCUGAACUUAA
rnacentral:misc_RNA from 1 species